GUGCUCACUUUGGCAACACAUAUACUAAAACUGGAAUGAUACAAAGAAGAUUAGCUGGCCCCUGGGCAAGGAUGACACACAAGUUCAGGAAGCAUUCCAUAUUUUU